rnacentral:pre_miRNA from 1 species
CCAGGGAAGAGGAAGAACGAGAGGGUUCAAGAGCAGUGGGUUGUGUUUUCCUGAUGCCUCCCAUUCCUAUUGUUCUUGGGUGCUCCUUCCCCUUCCUUCUUGGC